AUCUAGCUGAGGAGUCCUAAAUAUGACGAAAUAAUCAUCUUGGAU
rfam:Schistosoma rodhaini strain Burundi genome assembly, scaffold: SROB_scaffold0000057